rnacentral:lncRNA from 1 species
ACCUGCCAGAAGGCGUAGAACAACAUGGUUCUGCCUGGCACUGCGUGCUGAAGAAAUACCCCUGGAUCAUUAUCAUCCCCCUCAGAUGGCUCGCUGCAAGAUCUACCAUCAAAGUAGAGACGGGGUUUCACCAUGUUAGCCAGGAUGGUCUCGAUUUCCUGACCUCGUGAUCCGCCCGCCUCGGCCUCCCAAAGUGCUGGGAUUACAGGCAUGAGCCACCGCGCCCGGCCUUAUUUGAUCCUCUGUAAGGGAGUGGUGAGAGAGGAAUCGAUUCCAGCUUUCUCUGUGGGGGAGGUGACAGCUCUCGCCCCAGGCUUCUGAGGGCUUCACCAGGGGGCACUGCCAGCUUCCAGAACACACCCUUAUCCUCCCAGGGAUUGGAUCUGCCUGCCGAAUGGGGGCCAGGCAUAAGUGUGGUGCAGAGAUGCCAAGGCAGCCUACGAGAGUCCUGAAGGCCUCCGAUACCUGAUCCUGCAGGCUGGCAGACGGGCGGGUGACACCCACAGACUCUUUUGUUAUGGCUCCUAAAACAGGGAAGGCAAGAGGGAUCUACGGUGAGGAGAAAGGCCAGGGAGGCAAGCCCACCGAGAAGAGGACUGUGGCAUUUUCAUUUGGGUGCCCAGAGUCCCCCCAGAGCCUGCCACCGAGAGGCCUCGUCCAUGGCUGCAGUGAUAGAGGACAGUGAUGCAGGAGGAACAGCAGCAGCGGCUCCGGGAGGCCUUGCUCUGCCACAAGAAGGCACGCUACAUCCACUUUGUCACAAACUCUCAAAGCCCCAGAAGGCAGAUGGCAUUAACCCCACUUUUCAGAUGACAAAACUGAGGCCAGAAGGAUUUAAAGCAUCUGCCCAGGGUCAGGCACCUGGUAAAUGGCAAAGCAGGAGCCCAAGUCCCG